ACUGUAUAUGCAGUGAUCAAGGGAAAUAAUUUGAAUCUUGGCUGCUCCAGGAAGUCUGCCGACAGCUCCAGAUUACCAAGGUGAAGACUAGUGUGGCCCAUCCUGCGAGCAAUGGGGGCACAGAUGAGACUUCUGUCCCUCUUUGCACCUGGUCACUGGAGCUCAUGUUCAUCUGGAUUACAAGAAGAAACACCUUUGCACACAGUGACAGAUGGCUGGGUCUCUAAAAUCAACACUGUAUAUUCUUUAUUUUGGACACCUCUGUGGAACAUAAAGAAUGUCUCCUCUAUAUAACACUGCAACUCCAAAGAAUGCACCUCAUCCUUCAGCAGAGAGAACAUAUACAGGAAUGGAAAUUGAAUCUGCAUGAGGUUACUGUUUCAUAGCAAUCCUCCACUCAGUUGGUUACUUUAGGACUCAAUCAGAAGUAUGGGAAGAGUUUUUUUGUUAAAUACAGUACCUUU